AAAGGUAUAAAACAGAAGCUCAGCAUCCAAAGAGCAACACUACAUCCUCUUCUCUUGUCUCUGAGAAAACCUACUGAAGGUAAAAUCACUGCAGCCAUGCUGAAGGUAGCACUUGUUCUUGGAUGCCUCCUGAGCCUCAUUGUGGCUGAACCUAUGGAGCACCAGCGUUUUGCUCGCUCAAGCUCUGGUUCUGGUUCUGACUCAGAUGAGACCACCACGACUACAACCACAGCAGCAACUACAGCUUCAGCACUUCUG